rnacentral:rRNA from 1 species
AACGAACGCUGGCGGCGUGGAUUAGGCAUGCAAGUCGAACGUGAAAGGGGCUUCGGCCCUGAGUAAAGUGGCAAACGGGUGAGUAACGCGUGGAGAACCUGCCCGGAAGCGGGGGAUAACACUUCUAACGAGGUGCUAAUACCGCAUGUGUCUGCGUGAGCGCAUGCUCGCGCAGGUAAACGUGGCCUCUGCUCGCAAGCUACGGCUUCCGGAUGGCUCUGCGUCUCAUUAGCUAGUUGGUGGGGUAACGGGCUCACCAAGGCGACGAUGGGUAGCUGGUCUGAGAGGAUGGUCAGCCACACUGGGACUGAGAUACGGCCCAGACUCCUACGGGAGGCAGCAGUGGGGAAUUUUGCGCAAUGGGCGAAAGACCUGACGCAGCAACGCCGCGUGAAGGAU